rnacentral:rRNA from 1 species
UACGUAGGAGGCAAGCGUUAUCCGGAUUUACUGGGCGUACAGCGCAUUAAGGCGGCCGGCAAAGUUGGUUGUGAAAUCUCAGGGCUCAACCCUGAAACUGCGUCCAAUACUAGUCGGCUAGAGUGUGAGAGAGGAAAGUGGAAUUCCGCGUGUAGCAGUGAAAUGCGUAGAGAUGCGGAGGAACACCGAUGGCGAAGGCAGCCCCCUGGGUCGACACUGACGCUCAGGCACGAAAGCGUGGGGAGCACACAGG